rnacentral:rRNA from 1 species
CCUACGGGAGGCAGCAGUGGGGAAUAUUGGACAAUGGGCGCAAGCCUGAUCCAGCAAUGCCGCGUGAGUGAUGAAGGCCUUCGGGUUGUAAAGCUCUUUCGCACGCGAGGAUGAUGACGCUAGCGUGAGAAGAAGCCCCAGCUAACUUCGUGCCAGCAGCCGCGGUAAUACGAAGGGGGCGAGCGUUGUUCGGAUUUACUGGGCGUAAAGGACGCGUAGGCGGCCGAUCAAGUCAGGCGUGAAAGCCCCGGGCUCAACCUGGGAGGUGCGCUUGGGACUGGUUGGCUGGAGUUCGGGAGAGGAGCGUGGAAUUCCCAGUGUAGAGGUGAAAUUCGUAGAUAUUGGGAAGAACACCGGUGGCGAAGGCGGCGCUCUGGACCGAGACUGACGCUGAGGCGCGAAAGCGUGGGGAGCAAACAGGAUUAGAUACCCUGGUAGUCCACGCGGUAAACGAUGUGUGCUAGACGUUGGGGAGCCUAGCUCUUCGGUGUCGCCGCAAACGCUUUAAGCACACCGCCUGGGGAGUACGGCCGCAAGGUUAAAACUCAAAGGAAUUGACGG